rnacentral:lncRNA from 1 species
AUGUUGUCACCUUCCUUCUUCCAUGGUUUAUGGAGUUUCAUGCCUCCUCUUCUUUCUGGAGGUCUUUGCAUGCAGAAUGUCAAGCAGAUCGUGCCUAAGGUCCCUUUCAGACCCUCUGGAGCCUGCUUCCUGUCCACAAAUAGGACACCUGCCAGGAGGCAAAAACCCCACGUCAUUCCUCCUGACCAUUCCUUCUCCAGAGAGAACCUUGUUUCCUGGCAGAAAGCAUCAGUGCUAAAACUAGCGAAUACCAACAGGUUUCAAAGACUAUGGAUCUUAAGUCAUGAGACUGGAGAAGACACCAAAGCGAUGAUCAUUUGGUUCCGGAAGAACAUGUAAAGGGUUCUAUGACAUCAAUAAACCACUGGCCUCAUUCUGGUGUUUGGCCAUUUAACACAGGAGUUAAAAGUGCCAGCCUGUUCUUUGCCAUAUCCUACAAGAUAAUUUCUUUUCUUUUCUUUUUUAUCCUUUUUCUUCAACUUGUUGCUGGCAAAUCAAUUGUUGAUACAUUCAGAUUUCAAUUUGAGAUUUUAUUCUUAAAAAGCUUUGUGUUAUAGGGUGAGAUAUGAGAUUGUUUUUUCUCUCUCUCUCUCUUUUUUUUUUUUCAUUUUCCAUACUUGCCAGAGUUGUAAACCUAAGGCCAAGUUAAUUAAAGUCAAUGGAGAAUGUAUUUUUUUUUAUUAAACUUUCUCUUUCUAUUGAUUUUUUCCUCUCAUACAAAUAGUACAGACUUAGCUCUUGAAAUCAAAAACACCAUAGAGCAAAGAAAAGGAAUAAUUGGGCUCCCAAGAUGAUUUACAAACUCUGACAUAGGAUUUCAGAGGUAGCUGAGAUUUCAGAGGUGGCUAAACUGGCAAGAUGGUGAGAAUCAAGUUUGCAGCAUCACAGAAAAUGAUGCUCUCUCCUGCCAAGUCCCAUCUUUUGGAAGGAAGAAAUUGAUUAGGUCCUGGAGGUUUUCAUAAAUGCAUCAAAUGACUUUCUUAGCAUCAUCUGAAACAAAAAAUGGGCCAAUUCACAGCUGCAAUCGUUGGGAGAAUUUCCUGUCUGGGAGUCUGGAAACUGCCAAGAGUGGAAAGCUGCAGCCAGCCAGCAAGGGCUCUGUUGUCACUGGCCCAAACAACAACAAAAACAACCGCAACAACAACAACAACAACAAAACAUGCCACGUGUGCACUGGCAUAUACAAACACGCCCACAGAACCAAACCAAGCGGACAAGGCUUCAAGGAGAGCUUCUGGGCGGCUCAUUCCCGUGCACAAGAAACAGAAACGUUCUCGCCUCUUCGCACCCCUCACUUAUCCUGA